UACGUAGGGUGCAAGCGUUAAUCGGAAUUACUGGGCGUAAAGCGUGCGCAGGCGGUUUUGUAAGUCUGUCGUGAAAUCCCCGGGCUCAACCUGGGAAUUGCGAUGGAGACUGCAAGGCUAGAAUCUGGCAGAGGGGGGGUAGAAUUCCACGUGUAGCAGUGAAAUGCGUAGAGAUGUGGAGGAACACCGAUGGCGAAGGCAGCCCCCUGGGUCAAGAUUGACGCUCAU
rnacentral:rRNA from 1 species